GAGAAAAUAAACUAUAUAACAUCAAUUUUCUGUUUGAUUGGUUUUAUCAUGGGCAUUCCCACUAAGUAUUUUAAUUCUCUGUUGUAGGCCAGACAAGCUCAAGUUAUUUUAAUCUUUCUUGAAUCUAUUAAUUUUGCUUCUUUAGCAUAAAGGAGAGUUGUAGUUAAUUGGUUUUAGAAUGUUGCAUCUACAUGGCUGCAUAAGUUAAUACUACACUUGUUGGCUACAACACAUCUACGAUGUCUAGUAUUAUAACGAUGUAAUCAGACCCAUUAACCUAGGAAUGCCAUGGUAGUGAUUUCAAUAGUGCAGUGGGUAGUAGUAGAAGAAUAUAAUUUACUCAUUC
rnacentral:misc_RNA from 1 species